GACGGAGGGCGCAAGCGUUGUUCGGAAUUACUGGGCGUAAAGCGCGCGCAGGCGGGAAGGUAAGUCUGGAGUGAAAUUCCGGGGCUCAACUCCGGAGCUGCUUUGGAUACUGUCUUUCUAGGGACCGGUAGAGGCCGGUGGAAUUCCCGGUGUAGCGGUGGAAUGCGUAGAUAUCGAGAGGAACACCAGUGGCGAAGGCGAGUCCCUGGACAACACCUGACACUGAGGCACGAAAGCUAGGGGAGCAAACAGG
rnacentral:rRNA from 1 species